GACGAACGCUGGCGGCGUGCUUAACACAUGCAAGUCGAACGGAAAGGCCCUGCUUUUGUGGGGUGCUCGAGUGGCGAACGGGUGAGUAACACGUGAGUAACCUGCCCUUGACUUUGGGAUAACUUCAGGAAACUGGGGCUAAUACCGGAUAGGAGCUCCUGCUGCAUGGUGGGGGUUGGAAAGUUUCGGCGGUUGGGGAUGGACUCGCGGCUUAUCAGCUUGUUGGUGGGGUAGUGGCUUACCAAGGCUUUGACGGGUAGCAGGCCUGAGAGGGUGACCGGCCACAUUGGGACUGGGAUACGGCCCAGACUCCUACGGGAGGCAGCAGUGGGGAAUAUUGCACAAUGGGCGGAAGCCUGAUGCAGCAACGCCGCGUGCGGGAUGACGGCCUUCGGGUUGUAAACCGCUUUCGCCUGUGACGAAGCGUGAGUGACGGUAAUGGGUAAAGAAGCACCGGCUAACUACGUG
rnacentral:rRNA from 1 species